AUUGAACGCUGGCGGCAUGCCUUACACAUGCAAGUCGAACGGUAACGCGGGGCAACCUGGCGACGAGUGGCGAACGGGUGAGUAAUGCAUCGGAACGUGCCCAGUAGUGGGGGAUAGCCCGGCGAAAGCCGGGUUAAUACCGCAUACGACCUACGGGUGAAAGCGGGGGAUCGCAAGACCUCGCGCUAUUGGAGCGGCCGAUGUCAGAUUAGGUUGUUGGUGGGGUAAAGGCCUACCAAGCCGACGAUCUGUAGCUGGUCUGAGAGGACGACCAGCCAAACUGGGACUGAGACACGGCCCAGACUCCUACGGGAGGCAGCAGUUGGGAAUUUUGGACAAUGGGCGCAAGCCUGAUCCAGCCAUGCCGCGUGCGGGAAGAAGGCCUUCGGGUUGUAAACCGCUUUUGUCAGGGAAGAAAUCCUCUGGGCUAACACCUCGGGGGGAUGACGGUACCUGGAGAAUAAGCACCGGCUAACUACGUGCCAGCAGCCGCGGUAAAAC
rnacentral:rRNA from 1 species